rnacentral:rRNA from 1 species
GCAACUUUCAGCAGUGGAUGUCUAGGCUCGCACAUCGAUGAAGAACGCUGCGAACUGCGAUACGUAAUGCGAAUUGCAGGAUUCAGUGAGUCAUCGAAAUUUUGAACGCAUAUUGCACUU